CCUACGGGUGGCAGCAGUGGGGAAUAUUGGACAAUGGGCGAAAGCCUGAUCCAGCCAUGCCGCGUGUGUGAAGAAGGCCUUCGGGUUGUAAAGCACUUUCAGUGGGGAAGAAAGCCUUGGGGCUAAUACCCUCGAGAAAGGACAUCACCCACAGAAGAAGCACCGGCUAACUCCGUGCCAGCAGCCGCGGUAAUACGGAGGGUGCGAGCGUUAAUCGGAAUUACUGGGCGUAAAGCGCGCGUAGGCGGUCUGAUAAGCCGGUUGUGAAAGCCCCGGGCUCAACCUGGGAACGGCAUCCGGAACUGUCAGGCUAGAGUGCAGGAGAGGAAGGUAGAAUUCCCGGUGUAGCGGUGAAAUGCGUAGAGAUCGGGAGGAAUACCAGUGGCGAAGGCGGCCUUCUGGACUGACACUGACGCUGAGGUGCGAAAGCGUGGGUAGCAAACAGGAUUAGAUACCUUGUAGUC
rnacentral:rRNA from 1 species